AUGAACGCUGGCGGCGUGCCUAAUACCUGCAAGUCGAGCGAACAGAUGAGGAGCUUGCUCCUCUGACGUUAGCGGCGGACGGGUGAGUAACACGUGGAUAACCUACCUAUAAGACUGGGAUAACUUCGGGAAACCGGAGCUAAUACCGGAUAAUAUAUUGAACCGCAUGGUUCAAUAGUGAAAGACGGUUUUGCUGUCACUUAUAGAUGGAUCCGCGCCGCAUUAGCUAGUUGGUAAGGUAACGGCUUACCAAGGCAACGAUGCGUAGCCGACCUGAGAGGGUGAUCGGCCACACUGGAACUGAGACACGGUCCAGACUCCUACGGGAGGCAGCAGUAGGGAAUCUUCCGCAAUGGGCGAAAGCCUGACGGAGCAACGCCGCGUGAGUGAUGAAGGUCUUCGGAUCGUAAAACUCUGUUAUUAGGGAAGAACAAAUGUGUAAGUAACUAUGCACGUCUUGACGGUACCUAAUCAGAAAGCCACGGCUAACUACGU
rnacentral:rRNA from 1 species